rnacentral:rRNA from 1 species
GACGAACGCUGGCGGCGUGCUUAACACAUGCAAGUCGAACGGAAAGGCCCUGCUUUUGUGGGGUGCUCGAGUGGCGAACGGGUGAGUAACACGUGAGUAACCUGCCCUUGACUUUGGGAUAACUUCAGGAAACUGGGGCUAAUACCGGAUAGGAGCUCCUGCUGCAUGGUGGGGGUUGGAAAGUUUCGGCGGUUGGGGAUGGACUCGCGGCUUAUCAGCUUGUUGGUGGGGUAGUGGCUUACCAAGGCUUUGACGGGUAGCCGGCCUGAGAGGGUGACCGGCCCACUGGGGACUGGGAUACGGCCCAGACUCCUACGGGGGGCAGCAGUGGGGAAAAUUGCACAAUGGGCGGAAGCCUGAUGCAGCAACGCCGCGUGCGGGAUGACGGCCUUCGGGUUGUAAACCGCUUUCGCCUGUGACGAAGCGUGAGUGACGGUAAUGGGUAAAGAAGCACCGGCUAACUACGU